GCUGCUGCAGGACGGGGACGUGACCUGUCAGACGCCUCCCUCCCUGACUGGCCAGGCUGUGUGGAGGGUGACGGAGUGUGGCGCUCCACUUCCGACUCCUCCUCCGACCUCUGACCCUGCUGCCCAGACACCCAUAUCUCCAGACAAUCUUGCAUCGACACUCCUGUUUCUCUCAUCGGGCUCCAAUCCAACAUCUCAAAGUCCUGCAGAAUCAACUCCUUCUCUGGGCCAAAACCCCAGCGACCUCCGACCCACUGUGACCG